rnacentral:lncRNA from 1 species
GCAUUGGAACCAACACCCUUGCUUUUGGCCACCAGACUGGACUGCCUUCUGAGAAAGUAUCCCAGACCAGAACAAGCCUGGGAAUGGCAGUCAUACCCACCGGCGCCUCGUGAGGGAUGCUGCUCUUCUCCUCCCACUGUGACCCCUGCUGGAGCUGAAGCCAGACGGGAGCCAGUGCUGGAAUCCCAGCAAGAAGUACCCACUCUCAUGCCAGUCCACAUACUCCAUCAAAGGCGAGGAGUUGAUGGACAGAAAUGAAACUGAAACGUGGACCUGGGUAGAGGUGACUGAAAGUUCUCCAUUUAAGGGAUGCAGCACACACUGCAUUCCACAGCCUACUUUGGUCCGGUAAGUAAACAUCACGGACA